rnacentral:rRNA from 1 species
GACGAACGCUGGCGGCGUGCUUAACACAUGCAAGUCGAGCGGUAAGGCCCUUUCGGGGGUACACGAGCGGCGAACGGGUGAGUAACACGUGGGUGACCUGCCCUCAGCUCUGGGAUAAGCCUGGGAAACCGGGUCUAAUACUGGAUAUGACUCCAUGACGCAUGUUGUGGGGUGGAAAGCCUUGUGCGGCUGAGGAUGGGCCCGCGGCCUAUCAGCUUGUUGGUGGGGUGAUGGCCUACCAAGGCGACGACGGGUAGCCGGCCUGAGAGGGCGACCGGCCACACUGGGACUGAGACACGGCCCAGACUCCUACGGGAGGCAGCAGUGGGGAAUCUUGCGCAAUGGGCGAAAGCCUGACGCAGCGACGCCGCGUGAGGGAUGACGGCCCUCGGGUUGUAAACCUCUUUCAGCUCCGACGAAGCGAGAGUGACGGUAGGAGCAGAAGAAG